UUUUUUUUUUUUUUGUGCCUAAACCACUUGGUGAAAAGAUUCAAGACCGAAUGGCAUCAAAAAAUCAUAUUAAUCCUUGCAUCUCCUCUUUAUCUAAAAGGAUAUUAAUGUUAAUAUAAUCAUGUGUAGCCUUGAAAAUAAAACUAUAUGAAUUAGUUGGAAACUCAAGAAUGGGUGCUAGUAGUGGAUCAUCUUUCACAUUUGGUAUCUACAAUAUUAAUGUUGAAUGAUAUGAUGAAGAGAGGCCCUGGACUUUGCCUUUUAUACCUGGUGCAGAAUGGCUUUCCCCCGAUAGAUGACAUUUGUGGGAUAAAUCCAAUUAAAAAUGUCAAUAGUACUCCAUUAAUUGUGCAUUGAAAUCUUAAAAUUUUUAGGUAAGUUAAGAUUGUUUUACUAAAGUUGUGCUUGCGUAAGCAUUCAUAAAAUGUUAUUUAUUAUCUGUUUUGGAAAUAAAAAAAUUGUUUUUUCUCUUUCAGAAUCGAUUUUGAAUUCCUUCAUUUCUCGAAAAUUUAUUGAUUCCAUUUUGACUAACCAAAAAUUGAACAAGUCUCACGUUUUUUAAACAACUCUUUUCUUUUUAAUAUCAAAAUCCUCUUUGCUGAAGCAAAAUCAACCAUUUGUUGUGCUGACAGAGGAUAGGAAAUUGUUAAAUUGGUAGGGAAAAGAAAUGAGCAAAACCCACAACAUUAAAUUUCCCCUUUAUAACAUUCGAUUCGUUUUUCCCCAUCGGCAAAGCUUUGUUGGAGUCCGACCUCUUUACAAGAAAAUCAUAAGCUUGUCUAUUGGUUCAUUUCUUAUACAUAAAUCCCAACUUGCCUGCUUAUGUCGUCCGGAAGGUUAUAGGAAUUUAGGGCAAGUUUUACAAGAGUGUAUUUAUCUUGUUAAAGAAGAAAAGCAUAAAAUAGUGGGGGACAUUUGGGUGGUCUGCGACUAGGUAUACACUCAACCCAUGAUGAAAUGUUGUCUGCUCUCAUUUAUCUCUCACUAAUAUCAACAUCAUUGUUUGUAAUUGACAAUAAUUGUUUAGCUAUCUCACCCCUUUAAUUAAUCACCGCCCCUUGGCUGUUAACUUGUAUAAUCUAUUUUUAAAAGGUCCUAACUUUUAUUUUUAUUAUAAUCAAGGAUUAUUAUGUUUUAAUUUAUACAAAAAUCAGUUAGAAAGGUAAUAAAAAUAAAUCUAAAGUGUGCAAAGGUGUGGGUUUGAAGUGAAAAAAGCAGAAGAAAAGUUGAAAAGAAGAAGAGGAAUUUCAUUCUCCUUUUAUGUGCUGUUGUGUACAUCCCCACUUUCCAUGUGAUUCCACGUAUACAAUCCAUUGUAUUGCACUUUAUACACUGUAUUCAUGACUCUGAAUGGUCAACCUAUGAAAACAAAACCGAGAUGGGGGGUAUUUUUCAUCACUUCGCAACCGGAUUCGUUAGUCCUUUCAUUAUUUCCUUUUUCCUUUUUCCUUUUCAUUAAUAAUUUGUCCCCAUUAACACUCCACCACACCCUCUAUUUCUGUCUAAAAAACCCCCUUUUUUUUGGCCUCCUUAACAUCAAGAUUCUCUGCUAGUUAUCAAUAUUGAGCUACGUUUUAAUCUUCUUUUUCUUUUCUUUUUUUAAGAAAAAGCAAUGGGACUCGACGAUAUCUGCAACACUGGCCUUUGCCUUGGUCUAGGCAUAGGCUGCCUUGUUAAGCAAGAAAACAUUUCCCAAUCGGAUCAUCACCAACAAAAGAAGAAGAAACCGUUCCUCAAACACGAUCAGCUUUUUCCAUCUCUUUCCUUAGGCCCAUCUCAUGACGUGCAUGGCCAUGGCGAGUCCAUUGAUUUGCACCAACGUCAAGCCUCUUCCCUCAGUCUCAGUGCGGUGUCUUCGUUUUCCAACUCCAGCGUUAAGAGGGAGAGGGAUUUCGGUGGUGAAGAGGUGGAGUUGGAGAGGGUUUGUUCGAGGGUCAGUGAUGAAGAUGAAGAGGGCAGCCCCAGAAAGAAACUUAGGCUCACCAAAGAACAAUCCGGCGUUUUAGAAGACAGCUUCAAAGAACACAGCACUCUAAACCCAGUAAACCACCGCUUACUCGUUAUAAAACUUAUAUAUUUGCAUAUAUGACUUGUGUUGUCUUAUUUGAUACCAUUAUCCUUUCUUAUGUUAAACAGAAACAAAAGCAAGCUUUAGCCGAACAGCUGAAUCUAAGGCCACGCCAAGUGGAAGUAUGGUUCCAGAAUAGAAGAGCCAGGUUUCUUUACUUACCAUAUAUAAUUAAUUAAUAUACAUUAGAUCUUAUCAUAAUUUUUUUUUGGUAAAACUUUUUUGCCUAAUUGUAUAUAGGACAAAGCUGAAACAGACUGAAGUGGAUUGUGAGUUAUUGAAGAAAUGCUGUGAAACACUAAAAGAAGAGAACAAGAGGCUUCACAAGGAACUGCAAGAGCUUAAAUCAUUGAAACUAACAGCAUCGUAUUAUAUGCAUCUGCCGGCAGCCACCCUCACCUUGUGCCCUUCUUGUGAAAGGGUCGACAAUGGGGGUGAAGCCCCUUCGACGUCGAGCCCUUUUACGAUGGGGAAGAAAUCUCACUUCUUCAGUUCCUUCACUCACCCAUCUGCAGCCUGCUAGACAACUUGUUGAGACCGUAAUGAUCUGUACGAAGUAAUUAAAACCUUACUAGACUUUGUAUCUAUAUAUUUCUUUUAUAACUUGAAUAUUUUGUACAUACUAAGCAAAAACUGAGAAAGUUUUUGACUAGUUACGAUCUUAAGUGACUAUGAUUCAUUGAAGUUAGGGUAUAUAUUGUACUACGCAUAUAUAGAGAAAUGGAAAAUUUAUUUCCUUUUAAAUGUAGUCGCGGUGGGACGUUCGUAUUAGUUGAUAUUUUCUUAAAUCUUCAAACACAAGCAAUAUAAUGAUCUUCUCAGUUUUGCUCCCUCAUUGGGGGUAUAAGCGUUACAAUUUUCUAUAGCUUUUUGCGAGGAAGAAACUCAAUUGCCUUUGGUUGCUUAAUGACCAAGAAAGAGAAACAUAGAAGAAAUGCAAGGACGAGCAAUUUGCUCAUAAACCCUUCUUUUGAUUGGUUUAGAUAAAGGGAAUUUGGAUCUGGAAUCUUUUUUUUUUUUUCUCAUUUUGUUUGUAAUAAAUGUGAUUACAAUUGGAUUACCUCGGUCACAAAAGAAAAAGAAAAAGGAGCUUUGUUCGUAGAUAAGCUUACUAAGUAAUUAAUUUGAACAAGACUUUAAUACAGAUUAGGCUAAUCAUUCGCAUGUACAUACAUACAUUCCACAUGUGGAUGAUCAAGAAGUUGAGAAAAAAAAAUGGAAGAGUUUAGAAGAUAAGAUGAUGAUGUUUGUAAAAGUUACGAAAAAUUAAAUAUGUAGAAAUAGGAGAAAGGAGAGAGAAAGAAAGCAACCUUUAAACUAAAAUAAUUAAUAUACGCAUGAGGAUGAUUAGUGAAGCGAUACUUAUCAUGUGUUUCACAAUUGAUUAGAAAUUAAAUUUGACUUUGGCUUCUUUGCUUGCCUUGGAAUUGUUGGUGACAAAUUUUCAUUAUUUCCUUUUUCAAUUUAAGCCUAUCUCCAUUCUUAAACUUAGAGCAACAUGAUGGGGAUUUUGAUAUUCAAAUCGGUAUGAACUCCAAAAUAAUUUCAUAAGACGAGAGUUAUAUUUAUGGGAGCUUUCAAAAUAAUUUGUAGAUAUGGAGCGAGAGUGGGCUAAAUUGGUUGACGAACCCAGUUUUAUAGGGCCUUAAUAUUUGGUCCAAGAUCAUAUCAACAAAAUAUUUACUUUCGUUAUAUCGUUGUCGAUGAGAGGUUUAUACGACUUCAAUUAGGAUUCUAAAGGUUUAGUUUAGUCAGGUAACUAUUAUUUUAUAUUUAAAUUAUUUGAGAUGUAUUGGAAAUAAAAUUACUUAAUUAUAACUUCUGGUGUUGAAUUCUAAUUGGUGCAUUAAGCAGUUUAAUUUACUUAGAAUUAGGUAAAAGCUUGGUCUAUAAUUUUCAAGGUUGGCCCGCCCUAUAUUUCGCAUCUUCAAUUCUUCUUAAUAAUUUUGUUUGCUAGAGAGCCUUGAUUAGUGGGGUAAUAAGAUGAUUUUUCUAUUUUUUUAAAUUUAAUUUUCAUACUUCCUAUUUAAUCUUUUCGACUGAAAUUUUGAGUAGUUAUUCCAAUUCAAAAGAUCUUGAAGCAAGAAUGUAGAGUCGAAGGUUUUGGGACUUAUAAAACUGAGGAUAUGUAACAUCCUCAAAACCCACUUGGUCGUAAAUAAUAUAAGAUAAAAUUUUAGUGAAAUAAGGUGUAAGAUCAAAGAAAAUGAAAGUUGCAAGAUAUCAAAAGUGAGUUAAACCAAGAAGCAUGACAUGAUGUAUAAUUGAUUUCUCGAUAAAAUGAGAAAAUAAUAUAAAGAUGAUAAAAGAGAAUAUUGAGGAGUAUUAAAAAUAAUAAUAAUAAUUAAAAAGUAGGUUUUGGUAUAUUGAUUUAAAGUAAGGAUAAAUUGUAAAUAUGUGAAAUUUUUUUGGCUCAAGUUUAAAUAUUCAAAAUUUAGGGGAUCAAAGUGUAAAAAUAAGAAAUUUGAAGGACCAAAAGUGAAAAUAAUCUGAUUUACUAUGACAUGGAAUUGGCAUGCAGGGACCAAAUUGAAUAGGUGAAGAACAAUUUUAACAAACUUAAUGAUGAUUCAAGGAUGAAAUUUUAAAAUAUCAUAAAAGGGCAAAAUGGUCAAUUAAAAAGAGAGAAAACUCUAAAAGGCAAUGAUGAUGUUGGACAUGUUUUGAUGAUAUUUUAUAAUUAUUUAAUUAGAUAAAUAUUACUUUAUUAAUGUUUUAAUGAGAUAUUUUACUAAUACUUUAUUAUAAAUAGCUAGUAUAAAAGGAGAGGAAGAUGAAAAAAAAAAAAAAAGAGAGGAUCCUCCUGUCUUUUCAACUUGAGUGAGGGGGAGAGAAGAAGAAAACUUUGUUGUCUUUACAAUUUGGUCCUUCCACUAAAAAUCCGUCAUUUUCACCAAGAAUUUCAAGAAAUUUUCAUAAUCACCAAGAGAGGAGUGAUAAGGAGACUAUGGAGAACAAGAAAAUGGAAGUUGGAGGAGAGAGAAAAUCAAGUUAAAGAUUGAAAUCAAUAGGAUAACGUAAGAACAUUAAGAUCUCAAUAUAUUUUUAAGUUUGAUAUUAUUGAAAAAAGUAUUAAAAUGAUAUUAAAGUAGAGUUUUCUUAUAUAAGAUUUUAUGUUCUUGACAUGUUAGUGAAGGGAAAUAAGAGAAAGUGAUGGGAAAUAUUGUAGAGAAAGGAAAUGAGGGUAUUAUAAACUUGGUUAUCAACAUUUUACACUAAAACAGUUUUAGACAACAGCAGUAGUUUGACUUUGAAAAUUCACCAAAAAUUUUAAAAAUUGAAUUAGAGGUUAAUUAAAGUAUUAAAUUAAAGCCUAUUGAGUUUAGUUUUACAUAGAAGAAAUAGAGUAAGCAAAAAAAAAUCACAUCAUGAGAUAUAUGAAUUUUUGUGAGACAAGGUCAGAUUGAUUUCGGGUUCCCUUGUUCUGACUUUGAAAAAUCAUCAAAAAUUGUAAAAAAAUUAGGGUUUUAAAUUUAUAUUUUUAAAUUCUUGAUGAGCCUAUUUUCAAGAGAAACAAACGGAAACAUCAUUCAAACCCCUUACUAAGAGAUAAUUAUUUUUUAGUAAAGAAAGGUAACAGCAGAACAAGGACAAAUUGGAAGAAUUUAUUGUACUUAUUGGAUAAGUCAUAAAUUCUGAAAUUUUUAUGGUAAAAAGGUAUUUGAGUCUAGUUUCAAAAACAUCAAGCGGAUCUUAAUUUCGAAUUCUGUAGCUCAAGAUAUAAAUAAUUUGGUGACUAUGACUCAAGUGGACAGCUUUGAUAUGAACACAUAAGUAAAUAGUGUAAUUAUAUAUAAUGUUACAUAUAAGCAUGUUAUAUACUAAAAGUUAAACAUUCUAACAAAUAUACACAUAAAGGAUAUGGAAUGGAGAGGAGGAGGAAAAAAAUAUAUGAAUAUAUAUAUAUAGUAGAUGAAUUUGGAAUGUUUUGAAAUAGUUGUAGGUGAUGGAAUGAUUGAUACAUAUGAGUAUGUUUAAACGAAUUGAUAACAUAAUAAGUGAAUAAUUGUUAAUUGAUGUGAAUUCUUUGUUAAAUUUUUAUGAAGAAUUAAAUUGAUUGGCACAAUUUAGAAAUAAAUAUGAAAUAUACAUAAAGUAGGUAGACUAAUUUUGCAAGUGCAAGUCCUCCAAUGGUCUUAUUUGUAAAAUUUUAAUAUUUGUGUUAAUUUUAUAAAUUUUGUUAUAUUUAAUUGAAUAUCAUGUUUUUAUGAGGACUUGAGAUUAGAAAUAGAUGUAAGUGGGUGAUAUGUAAAAUGAAGUGGUGGUUAUGACAUCUGAAUACGGUUCAGGUAAUGAUAUAAAAUAAAUAAAUAAAAAUAAAGCAUGGAACUUGUAGGAAAUGGAGACAACGUCACGAUGACAAGUUCGUCAUGUCACGCCGUGGAAACGCCAACGUUGCAACGACAGUUCAAAAAUCUUUAUGAACUUUACAAUUUGGCCUUUGAUCAAUUAUGGAUGUUUUAAUGAGCUCAUUUAACUCAUAAUUAGUUCUAUCGUAAAUUCAAUUAUUAUUAGAAUUAGUUAAUUAAAUAAUAUGAUAAAUUGAUUUGAAAUUUUCAGUAGUUACUUCGACAAUGAAUAUGACAUCCUGAUGCCUUGACUCGACAAUCGGGUCAGGUAUAGGUGCUACAGGAUCCCUUCUUUUUCAAACAAGAAUGAUCCUGAGGAAUACUUUGAUUUACCACGAUUGAAUUAGCUGAUUAUGCAUUGAUAUGGUGGAAUCACUACGAGUUAAAAUAAAGAAUGCUAAAUUAAUACAUGGGACAAGAUGAAAGGAGUGAUGAGGAAGCGCUUUGUUCCUUCCUACUAUUAUCAAGCGCUUUAUUAAAGGCUUCUAUGCCUUGUUCAAGAUAACAAGUUCGUGAAAGAUUAUUACAAGGAGCUAGAUAUGAUUAUGAUCCGUGCAACCAUGAAAGAGGAUGAAACUAUGAUCAUGGCUGGAUUUUAUUGCGGGUUGAAUCCAAAUAAUGCAAACCUAACACAUUUCUAUGAGUAUGAAAAUAUGUGAUGAUGGUGAAGUGAUUAGCAAGAGAGAUUUUGAAUCUGAAGAGACAUACAUAUAAAGAAAGAGGAAACAAUAUUGCAACUAAAAGGAAUGAGAUACCCAUUGCUUCAAAUAUCAAGGAAAAGGAUAUUAAGUUGGAACUAUCUUUUUUAUUUUGAGUAUGAUAAUGGAUUUUUAUCCUUAUUUUUUAUUUAAUUUUUAUAGUUGUUGUUUAACCUUUUUAAUUCUGUUUUCCUCUUGUUUGUGUCAACUUAGUUCCAUUUCUCUAAAGUAUUACUCAACUCCUUUUACAUACUAUUUGUUUACAUGUAAAAGAUUUUACGGAAAAUAUUUUCUGUAUUUUUUUUGUGUUUGUUUCACAGAAAACAGCUUGGUCAACGAAAAAUAACUUACAGAUCAGUAAAAUAAACCAUUUUUCCUUAAGAUAACUUACCCUUUUGAAAAGCGUAAGUUAUUUUCCGGAAAAGAGCUCCUCUAUGGAUAAUUUUAUUUUUACAUAAAAAUUAACUUAAAUCAAGCUUAAUAUCAUUAUAUUGAUAAUAAAUUUUAUUUUUAUUUUUAAAAUAUUUAAAAUAUUAUAUUUUUCAAUAUUAUUAAACAUACAUAUUUAAUAAUUUAUAUUUAGUCAUAUAAUAAAUUAAGAAUAUAAUAAAUAUAAUUUAUUAUUUUAAUAAAUUAUUUAAUAUUUCAAUUUUAUUUUAAUAAUAAAUUUUGAAAAUAAUAAAUUUAAAUAAUAUUAUUCACAUAUUAUUGAAAAUAUUCAAUAUUAAUAUUUUAAUAAUAAAUAUUUAUUACAAUUAUAAAUAUAUUAAUAAUAAAUAUUUUGUAGUAUAAAGGUUAAAAUAUGUCAUAAGUCUAUCUACACUUCACAGAUUUAUAAUUUAAUCUUUGUACUUUUAUUUUCAAGAAUUUAGUCGCUUUACUUAUCAAAUUUAAAAAUCAAGUCCAAUUGUUGACAUCGUUCAAUUUUUUUGUCAAUUUUUUUGAUGUCACAUUUUUAAAUAAAAAAUACUCACUGGGUAGUCAUGUAAUUAAAAAAAUGACGUUGUAAUGAACCUGAAUUUAACAUAAUAUUUUUAAUAUAUGCAAAAAAAAUAUGUAAAAUAUAAAAUUAUAGAUAAAAAUAAAUUCAAUUAAACAAUGAAAAAAUAAGAAAAUCUCAAAUGCAUGUUUGUUUUAUUGAAAAAUAACUUUUAUGAAAUAUUUUUAAGAAAUCUACCAAACAACAGAAAAUAUGUUACACAGAUUCAUCCAAACACCAGAAAAUAUUAGCUUUUCUAGAAAAGUAAAUUAUUUUCCAAAAAUUAUUUUCUGAAAAUCAUUUCAGUGAAACAAACGGAGCCUAAAUUCAAAUUCUUCUCCUUCUCAAAUAUUUUCCGAUAACUAUUGAAAUUAUACAUGAAUUUUUGUCUAAUAUAUAAUGUUAAUUUUAUAAUUUUCACAAACAUAACAUCAUUUUAAGUUUAUAUAUUACAUACACAAAUAAUUAUAUUAAUCCAAUAAAAAAUAAAUUGAUCUAAUUAUUUCUUAUCAAAAUUCAAGUAUCAAAUUACACAUAAAAUCAAAACAUAUAUAAUUUUGAUAUUUAUCCCAAUCUUCUCUCUUCCUUUCAAUUUCAAUUGCAUUAUAUUAUUCACGUUUCUGCGUAUUACCAAAUUUUUCUUUUUUUUUUCUUAUUAUUAUUCAAAUUUUGUAUCUUGAAUCCCAUCUUUAUUUGGUCUCUUUUAUUUCGAUUAUACUUAUAUGUUAGCACCAAAACAAAAGAAGGAUACUGAUUAGCUGAUUGAGUCUUAGUUCGAUUGACAUUGACAUUGUUGCCAAUAUAAGAUGACGUGAGUUCAAGUGCACAGAAACAAAUUACCCUCCUAUUUAAGGGUUAAGGAGAGACUAUGAGUAGUUUUAAGUAUAUAAAAACCUAUAAUCAUUAAAAAUAAAUCACCGGAUGUACUUGUUCAACUCAAUCACAUUUAUACAUACAGUUAGAACAGAAGUCCAAAAUUACCCAAAUUGGACAACCACUAACUAAUAUGGAAGAAAUUUAUUUGAUCUGUUAUAAAAUACAAGCGACAGGAAACAUAAAAGCUUAACACAGCUGAUUAAUAUGGCAUCCUGUCAAUGUUUGGAACACCUUUCCUUGUCCGCAAGUUUGCAGAUAUCAAAGGAAGAUCACAAAUUAUUACAACUACUUACAUUAACUACCCAAAC
rnacentral:lncRNA from 1 species